GAGCAUGAGAUCAUUUAUUUGUGUUCCCUCUGCGAUGUACUGCUUUUGGCAAAGAUUUUCUCUUCAUUGUUGAUCAGUAGAACAGCUCUGAUGAAGUUGGAUAUUUUCAUGAUACAAAAACCUCCAUCAAUAUACUGGCAAACAUAAUAUAAGAAAUCAUAAAAACGACCACACCUCACUAAUGGAGACCACUACAAAGCAGCCCAGAGAAGCACUAAAAUUGACUGAUUGGCCUUCAGAGUUUACUUGUGAGUCUGUCCAGGGCCUGGGCUCCUUGUCUGGAGAUGGGCAGAGGACUCAUAGUGAGUGAGCCUCUGUGAGUCAUUGAUCCCUAGUGAGUCCUGUAAUGUGGAUGAAGCCAAGUAUCCUCAAAAGAUAAGACUACAGCCAAGGACACCUGGAGCCAAGCUCAACUAAGGACUGCCCCCUCAGCACUCACUCCUGGGUAGAAUAAUUUAACACCUUUCUUGGAGAAGUCCUUGAGUUUUUUCACCUUUCUUGAGCAUUCCACCUUCUUCUGAUAAUGAAAUAAAAGCAGCCCAUCCAGGGAAUGUCUUGGCCUUCAUACAGUUCAUUAGAAAAUUAGGAAAUUCUACAUCAUGGAUGCUAAUCAAGCACUUUUUUACAGAGUGUUUGAUGAUCAUAUGAAGAAAAGAAUUAUAAUGCUAUACAUGAAAAUUUUUAACCCUCUGAGAAUGCCAUUAGCUUGACUUGAGAAAAACACUUUAUUUUUUACAUUACAAUUUAAUGCUUUUUUCAUUUAUUUAUAUUUUGUUUUAAAUGUUUUUUUUUUUUUUUCACUAUUGAGGUCCAAAGGAAAGAUAUGCUUUAGAAAAAAAACAGAGAAUCCCCUUUUUCAGUUACAUUAGCAAUCUCUAUUUUGAAACAACAACAUUCAUUUAAAGCUGGCCAAUAUAUAGCCAAUUUAUCUAAGUAUUAUUUAAAUUUCUGUAUUUUAUCUAGUUGAAGCCUGAAAAUUACUCAUGUAAUGAAAAUAUUAUCUAUUAAACAUGACUUGAUGAAAGAAAAUUUAAUAAAUUUUAAAUUUGCACCAGUUCUUCAUAUUCUGUAUAAGAUUCUCUAUCUUAAAAGGAUUAUCAGUAAUUUGAGGUUAAAAUGGUAAAGGUUGUUUAUAGAAUGCCCUUUUAAUUUUUGUUUUCUUUUCAUUGGUACUAUAAAAUAAUUGUAUUCAGUAUGAAUA